rnacentral:rRNA from 1 species
CAUAUCAAUAAGCGGAGGAAAAGAAACCAACAGGGAUUACCUCAGUAACGGCGAGUGAAGCGGUAACAGCUCAAAUUUGAAAGCUAGCUCUUUUAGGGUUCGCAUUGUAAUUUGUAGAAGAUGCUUCGGGUGUGGCCCCGGUCUAAGUUCCUUGGAACAGGACGUCAUAGAGGGUGAGAAUCCCGUAUGUGACUGGGUGCUUUCGCUCAUGUGAAGCUCUUUCGACGAGUCGAGUUGUUUGGGAAUGCAGCUCAAAAUGGGUGGUAAAUUUCAUCUAAAGCUAAAUAUUGGCCAGAGACCGAUAGCGCACAAGUAGAGUGAUCGAAAGAUGAAAAGCACUUUGGAAAGAGAGUUAAACAGUACGUGAAAUUGUUGAAAGGGAAGCGCUUGCAACCAGACUUGCGCGCUGAUGAUCAUCCGGGCUUCUGCCCGGUGCACUCGUCUGCGCUCAGGCCAGCAUCGGUUUCGGUGGUGGGAUAAAGGCCUUGGGAAUGUAGCUCCUCUCGGGGAGUGUUAUAGCCCUCGGUGCAAUGCCGCCUACCGGGACCGAGGACCGCGCUUCGGCUAGGAUGCUGGCGUAAUGGUUGUAAGCGACCCGUCUUGAAACACGGACCAAGGAGUCUAACAUCUAUGCGAGUGUUUGGGUGUCAAACCCAUACGCGUAAUGAAAGUGAACGGAGGUGAGAACCCUUAAGGGUGCAUCAUCGACCGAUCCUGAUGUCUUCGGAUGGAUUUGAGUAAGAGCAUAGCUGUUGGGACCCGAAAGAUGGUGAACUAUGCGUGAAUAGGGUGAAGCCAGAGGAAACUCUGGUGGAGGCUCGCAGCGGUUCUGACGUGCAAAUCGAUCGUCAAAUUUGCGUAUAGGGGCGAAAGACUAAUCGAACCAUCUAGUAGCUGGUUCCUGC